UGAGGAAUAUUGGUCAAUGGCCGGAAGGCUGAACCAGCCAAGUCGCGUGAGGGAUGACGGCCCUACGGGUUGUAAACCUCUUUUGUCGGGGAGCAAAUUCCGCCACGUGUGGCGGAGUCGAGAGUACCCGAAGAAAAAGCAUCGGCUAACUCCGUGCC
rnacentral:rRNA from 1 species